UACGAAGGGGGCUAGCGUUGUUCGGAAUUACUGGGCGUAAAGCGCGCGCAGGCGGUUCUUCAAGUCAGUGGUGAAAGCCCGGAGCUCAACUCCGGAACUGCCAUUGAAACUGUGGAACUUGAGGAUGAGAGAGGUGAGUGGAAUUCCCAGUGUAGAGGUGAAAUUCGUAGAUAUUGGGAAGAACACCGGUGGCGAAGGCGGCCACCUGGACGACAACUGGACGCUGAGACGCGAAAGCGUGGGUAGCAAACAGG
rnacentral:rRNA from 1 species